GUAACGACCCUUAAAACCGAUAUUAUUAGAAACAAUAUUAUUAGCUUGAUUAUCUAUAUAAGUGACGUGUAUGCGAUUAAAUCUGAGCUACGAUAGAGUGUCGUUGUUGUUUCUAACGCCAGCCAAGUAUAUAAAAAAUAUAUAUAUGUAUAAUAAAAGAAUCAAGACCCAUAAUUAAAAUUUUAAUGUCCGAUACAUUCAAUAAAAGUCCAACGAAAAUUUAACUUAAUACAUCCUUCGUUCUAAAGAAAAUCGGGUACUUCAACGCGGACGGCCACGAGCUUGAACCGAUUAUACCUACACCAAAUUAGUUAAACAAGUAAAUAAAUAAAUAAUCAAUUAUUUACUAUAAAAAAAAUCAAAUUUAUCUAACUUGGUCACCAAGUCAAUCAUUUUAAUUAAAAAUUCUAAGAUAUUUUCCUCCUCCCACAUCCAAACCGCCCAUUCUCCUCUGCUAAAUCUCUCCCAUGUCUUUAACUACUCUCCCUCAAUAUUAAAUCUUCAAUCCAUUUCUUUCCUCCGAUCGGUUUCCGCAGCAAGAAAAUUCAAGAAACCGAGAGCUCAAUCAAUUGAAUUACAGAAACUGAAUCUGCAAAAUCCAGUGGGCUACUCCUUUUGGUCCUACAAUUUCACAAUCGAUAUCGGAUUAUCGAGGCUAUCUCCGUGAGUUAAGGGUGGAGUCAGGAAAAUUCAAGUUAAGGAAUCUAAACGA